rnacentral:tRNA from 1 species
GCGGCCGUGGUGUAGUCCGGCCAAUCAUUUCGGCCUUUCGAGCCGAGGACCCGGGUUCAAAUCCCGGUGGCCGCA